AUCCUCCCGGCAUUCAUUUGUGGUCUCACACUCAUUUAUAUCUGUAGAGAUGUAGGGUCAAAGAGUUUACUAACUAAACUAAUGAACUGAUCUAAUUAAAUCAUAUAACUGGCAGAUUCUGUUUGCAAGGAAGGAGGUGUGAGAGCAUCUGGACUGUGUUCAACCUGCUUUUAGACACAAGACUGGGUGUUCAUUGUAUUGAAUUCAGGACAGACAGAGCUGAGACA
rnacentral:lncRNA from 1 species